GCUUGAGAGGUCCAGCACAGUUUAAGCUAAUUCAUGGACCUCAUGGAAAGGAAGUGCUCUUAAAGGGAGAAUCAGUCUGCAUGCUCCAGCAGUAACCUUCAGAGACGCUGGAGGAAGGGUGGAUGUGCUUUCUGUUUGGUUACCUUGGUCACCUGGAGAGCAGAGCAGAACUGAGCACAGGCACUUGGUCUGUUCUUCUCUGCUUUGGCUGGGAGGAACUUCUGGAGAUCCUGUAAUCACAUGAACAGUUUUCUCAUGUGUUUGUGGAAGACCUACCCCCUCUUGAGUCGAUUCCACAAGGACAGCGUGCUCUGAAAUUCUCUGCCCGUCUCCACAGUGUAUCCCCAGUGAUCGCUCUUCUCCCCACCUCGUGUAGCCCGUUAAGAAAAUCCAGUCUCUGGCACGCAUAGGUUUGGUGAAUGCUGAAUGUGCAGUAAUUGCUGAGCGCUGGCGAUAGUGCAUAAGGUAUGGGCCCUCGAGCCUGACUGAGCUGGAGAACCACACACUCGGUGUGGGAUUAUUCAGUGACUCUUCAAUAAUCCAUCGCUUCAUCUCACAAGUGAAAGGGGAUGCUCCACAUAUGAGAUCAAACAUGCUAUUUGUGAGUAAAACGAUGACUGACAGCAAUUGGAUUGCAGGAAGGAUUUUGAAACUGUGAACUCCAGUUUUGUCUCUUGCCAUCUGGAAAACACCUGGUGGAUCUCUGACCCAGGGAUGGGUAGCAGUGGGCAGAUGCCUUGUCUAAGAGUUGGGAAUCUUCCACUAGAAGAUGUUUUUGUUUGCUAACUGUAGGUAAGUGGGCACCUGUUUUGGCUGAGGGCUCCUGAUGCAGUAGCACUGUAGCUUUAAGGUUAAGUUGUAGCGCGACAUGCGUGGGUCUCAUUGCCAGUCCCGGUUAGCUGGCACAGGAAGGAGGUCACAGCUGAAGCUCAGUUUAACCUUUGGGAAGAGCCCUGGUGAGAUUGCUGUGUCCACAUGAGGCUCCUUCCGUUUUUAUCCCUUUCUCCGCCCCCCUUGGCUGUGUCCCUGUGGGUGCAGCGCUGGGCACAGCUCCUGCCUGGCCGAGCGGCUGCGGUUCGCUGGUGCUGGACUGAGCGGUUUCCUGGCUGUGAAGAAGCUCUGCUGAGCCAUGUGACUGAUGAGCAUUCCCCAUUUCUCCGCUAGUAAAGGCUGAGCUUGUCUGAGCUUCUGGCUUACUCAUUUCCAUGGCCCUGACAGCGGAGAUGAGGAUCGGAGAUGACGCUCCAUGACCCCAGCAGCAGCUUCAGCUGUGCGUGUUAUGGCUAAACCCGCUGGGCCAAAGAAUUUACUCCAUUAUAGAAAAUAGACAAUAUUGGCGUUUCAGUCUUUAGUGAAAUAGAGCGUGCAAAAACUGCAUUUUGAUUUCCUUAUUUUGGUAGUAAAUAGCAAGAACUCCCUCCUUGUUCCAAUGGGCUUCAGCACUUUGUAGUUCAAACAAAGGCAGCGGGGGCCAAGCCAGCCCUUCCAUGAGCUUCUGAACAGAAAAUGCCUUCCUCAUUUGUAUGUUUCAUGUGGUGCAGACACUUUGGUGGUUCAGACAGCGGCUGGAUGGCUAUUUAUUUUGCUAACCCUUCCUUUUGGUGCAAUAUACGUGAAGAAGCUGGUAGCCUUGUCUCUUAGUGCAGAGCACAGCCUGUUGUGAUUAUAGGAGAAGGUUACAACCAAAGCAUCUUUGAGUUUGGCUGUGCCCACUCCUGAGCACACAGCGGCUUCUUUUAAGUCGUCCUGUUGUUUCUUUGUCCCUAGGAGCAGGAGUGCACCUGCACACAGUGCUGCUGCUGUGCUCCCAGGAUGAAAGCUUGUCCUGUCAGAGGGAGAACAAUGGAGGUGUGUUACUGGCUGGUAAACGUUUCUGGUUUUGUGCUUUGCACUUGGGAGUGAAUGGCAUUAAUAUCCAGCUCUGCUGGAAUUGUGGUUCUAGUUAUAUGUUUGCCUAAAAGAGAAGUCAAACAAGCUGUAUUCUGCAGUGAAGGUGAUUUAAAAUUCACUAUUGAAUCACAAAAAAACAAUACUUUCCUUGUGGUGCAACACUUGGAGUGAAAAAAAA